GAUGAAGAACGUAGCGAAAUGCGAUAAGUAGUGUGAAUUGCAGAAUUCAGUGAAUCAUCGAAUCUUUGAACGCACAUUGCGCCCCUUGGUAUCCCGAGGGGCAUGCCUGUUCGAGCGUCAUUUCACCACUCAAGCCUGGCUUGGUGUUGGGCGACGUCCCCUUUGGGGACGCGCCUCGAAACGCUCGGCGGCGUGGCACCGGCUUUAAGCGUAGCAGAAUCUUUCGCUUUGGAAGUCGGGGCCCCGUCUGCCGGAAGACCUACUCGCAAGGUUGACCUCGGAUCAGGCAGGGAUACCCGCCGAACUUAAGCAUAUCAAUAAGCGGAGGA
rnacentral:misc_RNA from 1 species